rnacentral:rRNA from 1 species
CCUACGGGAGGCAGCAGUGGGGAAUAUUGCGCAAUGGGCGAAAGCCUGACGCAGCGACGCCGCGUGAGGGAUGAAGGUCUUCGGAUCGUAAACCUCUGUCAGCAGGGAAGAACGGUCACUGUGCUAAUCAGCAGUGAAUUGACGGUACCUGCAAAGGAAGCACCGGCUAACUCCGUGCCAGCAGCCGCGGUAAUCCGGAGGGUGCGAGCGUUAAUCGGAAUUAGUGGGCUGAAAGCGCUCGUAGGCGGUAUGUCAAGUCAAGGGUGAAAUCCCCGCGCUCAACGUGGGAAGUGCAUUUGAAACUGGCAGACGGGAGUGUGUGAGAGGAGAGUGGAAUUCCAGGUGUAGGAGUGAAAGCCGUAGAUAUCUGGAGGAACACCAGUGGCGAAGGCGACUAUCUGGCACAUAACUGACGCUGAGGAGCGAAAGCGUGGGUAGCAAACAGGAUUAGAUACCCGGGUAGUC